AGGAAAGGAAACUGAACAAAGACAGACAACUGGAGACGAAGAAGAAAAGCAGCAAACUGGAGCGAAACUAUGAAACUGAGCUCCCCAAAAUGGAGACCUCGGCUGCGCUAUGGGAACCCAAAACCAAGCUGACCCUUUGGCUCAAGAUUCAAGGAGAAUUGGAACCAGACAAACAAAAACGUGCAGAACCAUCAAUGAGAGAGAGACCCAUGGCAGUCUAAGCAGCAGCAUCAAUAUUGAUGAUGGAUUGUGGUGGGAUUUGUAUAUCCUGAUAUGGGAGAUAUGGUAAGGUACUGAACAAGCUUUUAUUUCUUUGCCUCUUUCAUAUAAGCAUCACCUGCACUCUUUGAAAGCUGACUCACCCUUAACUCCUCUGCUCCAUUUCUUUAAGAUUCAUAUCAAAUCCCUGCCACUGCAAUUUAUGUUAGUCAUUACAACUGGACACCAACCCUUUCACAAUGACAUUCAGUAGUAAAUAGACCACUUCAAAAGCAGAGUAGUGUUCCACAAAGUCUAUUUCAUUCAGGCUCUUCUGUGGUCAGAAAGCAUAAGAAGAAAAAGAGAGCAAUUGGUCCUCCAUUUGAGAAGAGCGAGAGAAAGCAACAGGGACCUUGAUGGCUACCAGAGGAAAGCUACCCUCUUUUUUCAAAAUUGUUCCGAGUGAUCGGUUCACUAACAAGUUGGUAAGUCCCAAGCUCCCCAUAUACUUCAUUUUGAAUAUGAAAAAACCCCCUGUGAUUUCUCUAGUAAAGAAACCAUGAAGCAUAGAAGAUAUUAGCUUUGUUUUUAUUUCAAUGUGGGUCUAGCUUCUCUGGCUCAGAUUAGAGCUUUGAGUAGAAUAUGAGAUUUGAAUCUGGAGUGUUGGAUGCUCAAAUUCAAGUAGUCUUUAUCUGAACCCAAGGGAAGCAAAAGAUAUAUAGUUAUAUACGAAGCCCUGCUUUUAGUGGCUUUUGUAGUUUCUUCUUUUCAUUCUUUUGGCAAAAUGUGGGUUUUGUAGUCUACCUGAGUCAACUGUGAGCUUAGUCAUUUUGAUAAACAAUCUUCAAUACGAAAAAUCAUAGACUCUUUGCUCUUAGCCUUUAUUACUGUGUGUUUGAGUUCACAUAAUAAUGUUUUGAAAUUCCUG